rnacentral:tRNA from 1 species
GGAGGCGAAACCUGUCCGGUGAUGGGCGCGGUCUUCAAAAUCGUCUGCGAGCUCGCCAAACGCCGAGCUUGGGUGGGUUCGACUCCCACACGCCUCC